UCGGACGUGGUGUACGGAACACCCUCGCUUUCAAUAGAUAAAAUUUAUAUUUGUACAAGCGAGUCACUGGGGUUCGACUCCCCGCGUCUGAC